rnacentral:tRNA from 1 species
GGGGAGGUGGCAGAGUGGUCGAAUGCGGUAGUCUUGAAAACUUCUGAGGGUUAACGCCCUCCCAGGGUUCGAAUCCCUGUCUCCCCGCCA